rnacentral:rRNA from 1 species
AAAAUUUUUAUAAAAUUUUAUUUUUUAGUUAAAAAGCUAAAAUAUAGUCAAAAGACGAGAAGACCCUAUAAAUCUUUAUUAUUUUUAAAUUUUUAAUAUAUUUUGAUUUUUUUUGUUAUAAAUUAUAUAAAUAAUUUUAUUGGGGUGAUAUUAAAAUUUAAUUAACUUUUAAUAAUUUUUAACAUUUAUUUAUGAUUAAAUGAUCCAUUAUUAGUGAUUGAAAAAUUAAGUUACUUUAGGGAUAACAGCGUAAUUUUUUUGGAGAGUUCUUAUCGAUAAAAAAGUUUGCGACCUCGAUGUUGGAUUAAGAUUCAUAUUUAAAUGCAGAAGUUUAAUUAUAAAGUCUGUUCGAC